rnacentral:rRNA from 1 species
GACGAACGCUGGCGGCGUGCUUAACACAUGCAAGUCGAACGAAGAGCGAUGGAAGCUUGCUUCUAUCAAUCUUAGUGGCGAACGGGUGAGUAACGCGUAAUCAACCUGCCCUUCAGAGGGGGACAACAGUUGGAAACGACUGCUAAUACCGCAUACGAUCUAAUCUCGGCAUCGAGGAUAGAUGAAAGGUGGCCUCUACAUGUAAGCUAUCACUGAAGGAGGGGAUUGCGUCUGAUUAGCUAGUUGGAGGGGUAAAGGCCCACCAAGGCGAUGAUCAGUAGCCGGUCUGAGAGGAUGAACGGCCACAUUGGGACUGAGACACGGCCCAGACUCCUACGGGAGGCAGCAGUGGGGAAUCUUCCGCAAUGGACGAAAGUCUGACGGAGCAACGCCGCGUGAGUGAUGACGGCCUUCGGGUUGUAAAGCUCUGUUAAUCGGGACGAAAGGCCUUCUUGCGAAUAGUGAGGAGGAUUGACGGUACCGGAAUAGAAAGCCACGGCUAACUACGUG